rnacentral:rRNA from 1 species
UACGUAGGGCGCAAGCGUUGUCCGGAAUUAUUGGGCGUAAAGAGCUCGUAGGCGGUCUGUCGCGUCUGGUGUGAAAUCCCGAGGCUCAACCUCGGGCUUGCAUCGGGUACGGGCAGACUAGAGUGCGGUAGGGGAGACUGGAAUUCCUGGUGUAGCGGUGAAAUGCGCAGAUAUCAGGAGGAACACCGGUGGCGAAGGCGGGUCUCUGGGCCGAUACUGACGCUGAGGAGCGAAAGCGUGGGGAGCGAACAGG